CUCGUUGGUGACAGCGGAGGGAUCAUUUACCGAGUUUUACAACUUCCCCAAACCCCUUGUGAACAUACCUAUUACGUUGCCUCGGCGGAUCAGCCCGCGCCCCGUAAAAAGGGACGGCCCGCCCGAGGACCCCUAAACUCUGUUUUUAGUGGAACUUCUGAGUAAAACAAACAAAUAAAUCAAAACUUUCAACAACGGAUCUCUUGGUUCUGGCAUCGAUGAAGAACGCAGCAAAAUGCGAUAAGUAAUGUGAAUUGCAGAAUUCAGUGAAUCAUCGAAUCUUUGAACGCACAUUGCGCCCGCCAGUAUUCUGGCGGGCAUGCCUGUUCGAGCGUCAUUUCAACCCUCAAGCUCAGCUUGGUGUUGGGACUCGCGGUAACCCGCGUUCCCCAAAUCGAUUGGCGGUCACGUCGAGCUUCCAUAGCGUAGUAAUCAUACACCUCGUUACUGGUAAUCGUCGCGGCCACGCCGUAAAACCCCAACUUCUGAAUGUUGACCUCGGAUCAGGUAGGAAUACCCGCUGAACUUAAGCAUAUCUAA
rnacentral:rRNA from 1 species